GUAGCGACUCCUACGGGAGGCAGCAGUGGGGAAUAUUGCACGAAUGGGGGAAACCCUGAUGCAGCCAUGCCGCGUGUAGUGAAGAAGGCCUUCGGGUUGUAAAGCACUUUCAGUAGGGAGGAAGGUAGUGUAGUUAACACCUGCAUUAUUUGACGUUACCUACAGAAGAAGCACCGGCUAACUCCGUGCCAGCAGCCGCGGUAAUACGGAGGGUGCGAGCGUUAAUCGGAAUUACUGGGCGUAAAGCGCAUGCAGGCGGCCUGUUAAGUCAGAUGUGAAAGCCCGGGGCUUAACCUCGGAAUUGCAUUUUGAAACUGGCAGGCUAGAGUCUUGUAGAGGGGGUAGAAUUUCAGGUGUAGCGGUGAAAUGCGUAGAGAUCUGAAGGAAUACCAGUGGCGAACGGCGGCCCCCCUGGACAAAGACUGACGCUCAGAUGCGAAAGCGUGGGGAGCAAACAGGAUUAGAUACCCCUGGUAG
rnacentral:rRNA from 1 species